GAUGAACGCUGGCGGCGUGCCUAAUACAUGCAAGUCGAGCGAACAGACGAGGAGCUUGCUCCUCUGACGUUAGCGGCGGACGGGUGAGUAACACGUGGAUAACCUACCUAUAAGACUGGGAUAACUUCGGGAAACCGGAGCUAAUACCGGAUAAUAUAUUGAACCGCAUGGUUCAAUAGUGAAAGACGGUUUUGCUGUCACUUAUAGAUGGAUCCGCGCCGCAUUAGCUAGUUGGUAAGGUAACGGCUUACCAAGGCAACGAUGCGUAGCCGACCUGAGAGGGUGAUCGGCCACCCUGGAACUGAGACACGGUCCAGACUCCUACGGUAGGCAGCAGUAGGGAAUCUUCCGCAAUGGGCGAAAGCUUGACGGAGCAACGCCGCGUGAGUGAUGAAGGUCUUCGGAUCGUAAAACUCUGUUAUUAGGGAAGAACAAAUGUGUAAGUAACUAUGCACGUCUUGACGGUACCUAAUCAGAAAGCCACGGCUAACUACGUG
rnacentral:rRNA from 1 species